ensembl:snoRNA SNORA4 small nucleolar RNA, H/ACA box 4
CUACCAAAAGCUUUUCUGGGGGGAAGGUUUUUCAAUAACCUUUACCAACUUGGACUGUUUGGGAGAAUAAAGAAAAGACCACGCUCCACAGUGGACUAUAUCACUAAACAUAUAGUUCACUACUAAUUUGUGGCCUACAUU